GGAGAGGUGGCUCAGUGGUUAGGAGCACUGGCUACUCUGCCAGAGGACCCGGGUUCCAUUCCCAGCACCUGCA
rnacentral:tRNA from 1 species